CAUGAGCUUGUCUGGAAAAAGUGGAGAUAACUCCACUGAGAGAACAUAUAUGUAACACAAACGUCUUGAGGGCAACACAUAAUAAAUCUCUACAGGACUAUGACAAAAGUACCUAAAAGUCCACCAUAUCCACAGCCAAUGUCUGCAAACUCAACUUGUGGUGUCCUUUCCUCAUUAGACUGGUGCUCGGAACAGAAGUGCGGAUACAGCGUGGCCCAGUCCAUCUCCUCUGGACACACAGGACUGGUAGGACACCAACACAAAGCACAGCUUCCUGUAGGUGGCGAUCUCGAUGUCCAGAGCCAGUUUGAGGUUCAUGAGGUCCUUCAGGUAAAGAGUUCAGGAUGUAAAUGUGAGGACACAAAGUGGACCUGGACUGUGUGGUGCUGUCCUGUCCCGUACCUGGUACUCUCUCAGCUGCCGGGCCAUGUCCUGCUUGGCUCGCUGCAGGGCGUCCUCCAGGUCUCUGGUGCGGGCUUUGGCCUCUUUUACAGCCAUCUCUCCACGCUCCUCAGCCUCAGCCAGCUGAUUUUCCAGGCUGCCACGCUGGGCGAGACACAAGACGGCUCGUAAUGAAGGCGGCUGAUGAGUCGGUUGACCUCGCCCACUUCUCCCUUCACGAUGCGGAGCUCGUCUCCAUACUGGCUGGCCUGCACCGACAUCUGGUCGAACUGUGGAACGACAAAAUCACUUCUUGACUUUUCAUGAAGAUGGAGGACAUCGCUCCAUGUAUACAGUACCUAACAGUCCAGUUCAGUUUGGUACUUUUUGGUGUGUCAUGAUGAGAUGGGAAUAAAAUGGGACAUCAAACAAACAAAGCUUGUCUUCUCAUUGUAAUAAA